ACCUGGGUGGCUCAGUUGGUUAAGCAUCUGACUUUAGCUCAGGUCAUGAUCUCACGGUUUGUGGGUUCGAGCCCCGCAUCAGGCU
rnacentral:tRNA from 1 species